CAGCAGCCGCGGUAAUACGGAGGGUGCAAGCGUUAAUCGGAAUUACUGGGCGUAAAGCGCACGCAGGCGGUCUGACAAGUCAGAUGUGAAAUCCCCGGGCUUAACCUGGGAACUGCAUUUGAAACUGUCAGGCUGGAGUCUUGUAGAGGGGGGUGGAAUUCCAGGUGUAGCGGUGAAAUGCGUAGAGAUCUGGAGGAAUACCGGUGGCGAAGGCGGCCCCCUGGACAAAGACUGACGCUCAGGUGCGAAAGCGUGGGGAGCAAACAGGAUUAGAUACCCCUGUAGUCCCUGUCUCUUAUCC
rnacentral:rRNA from 1 species